AGUGAACGCUGGCGGCGUGCUUAACACAUGCAAGUCGAACGAGAACGGGUUAUAGCUUGCUAUAAUUGUCAGCUAAGUGGCGCACGGGUGAGUAAUGUAUAGGUAAUAUGCCUCUUACUAAGGGAUAACAAAUGGAAACGUUUGCUAAUACCUUAUACUUCUUAUUAACAGAAGUUAAUAAGGGAAAGAUUUAUUGGUAAGAGAUUAGCCUGUAUUGUAUCAGUUAGUUGGUGAGGUAAUGGCUUACCAAGACUAUGACACAUAACUGGUUUGAGAGGAUGAUCAGUCACACUGGAACUGAGACACGGUCCAGACUCCUACGGGAGGCAGCAGUGGGGAAUAUUGCACAAUGGACGAAAGUCUGAUGCAGCAACGCCGCGUGGAGGAUGACACAUUUCGGUGCGUAAACUCCUUUUAUAUGAGAAGAUAAUGACGGUAUUAUAUGAAUAAGCACCGGCUAACUCCGUGCCAGCCGCCGCCGUAA
rnacentral:rRNA from 1 species